rnacentral:siRNA from 1 species
GUGGGAGCUUCGGCGCAAGUGAA